rnacentral:rRNA from 1 species
UUCGGAUUGUAGUCUGCAACCCGACUACACGAAGCCGGAAUCGCUAGUAAUCGCGAAUCAGAAUGUCGCGGUGAAUACGUUCCCGGGUCUUGUACACACCGCCCGUCACACCAUGGGAGUCGGAAAUGCCCGAAGUCAGUGACCUAACCGAAAGGAGGGAGCUGCCGAAGGUGGAGCCGGUAACUGGGGUGAAGUCGUAACAAGGUACC